UAGUCGAGCGAAUGGAUUAAGAGCUUGCUCUUAUGAAGUUAGCGGCGGACGGGUGAGUAACACGUGGGUAACCUGCCCAUAAGACUGGGAUAACUCCGGGAAACCGGGGCUAAUACCGGAUAACAUUUUGAACCGCAUGGUUCGAAAUUGAAAGGCGGCUUCGGCUGUCACUUAUGGAUGGACCCGCGUCGCAUUAGCUAGUUGGUGAGGUAACGGCUCACCAAGGCAACGAUGCGUAGCCGACCUGAGAGGGUGAUCGGCCACACUGGGACUGAGACACGGCCCAGACUCCUACGGGAGGCAGCAGUAGGGAAUCUUCCGCAAUGGACGAAAGUCUGACGGAGCAACGCCGCGUGAGUGAUGAAGGCUUUCGGGUCGUAAAACUCUGUUGUUAGGGAAGAACAAGUGCUAGUUUUAUAAGCUGGCACCUUGACGGUACCUAACCAGAAAGCCACGGCUAACUACGUGCCACCAGCCGCGGUAAUACGUAGGUGGCAAGC
rnacentral:rRNA from 1 species